rnacentral:rRNA from 1 species
GCUUACGGCCAUACCACCCUAACAAAGCCUGAUCUCAAAAGCAAAGCAAGGUUGGGCCUGGUUAGUACUUGAUUGGGAGACUGAAUGGGAAUACUAGGUGCUGUAAGCA